GACGAACGCUGGCGGCGUGCCUAAUACAUGCAAGUCGAACGCAGUGGGGACGGGUGAGUAACCCGUGGGUAACCUCCCAUCAGAGGGGAUAACACUUGGAACCCGGUGCUAAACCGAUACUGAUGGAUGGACCCGAGGUUCCUUAGCUAGUUGGUGAGGUAACGGCUAACCAAGGCCACGAUGCAUAGCAGACCGGAGAGGGGGAGCGGCAAAACUGGGAAUGAGAAACGGCGCAGAAUACUACGGGAGGCAGCAGUAGGGAAUCGGCGGCAAUGGACGAAAGUCUGACCGAGAAACGCCGCGUGAGUGAAGAAGGUGUGCGGAUCGUAAAACUCUGUUGUUAGAGAAGCGGUAUCUAACCAGAAAGCCACGGCUAACUACGGGCCAGCAGCCGCGGUAAUUC
rnacentral:rRNA from 1 species